GAAUGGUGGAUGCCUUGACUGGUAAAGGCGAUGAAGGACGUACUAGACUGCGAUAAGCUACGGGGAGCUGUCAAGAAGCUUUGAUCCGUAGAUUUCCGAAUGGGGCAACCCAAUGUAUAGAGAUAUACAUUACCUAUAUAGGAGCGAACGAGGGGAAUUGAAACAUCUUAGUACCCUCAGGAAAAGAAAUCAAUAGAGAUUGCGUCAGUAGCGGCGAGCGAAAGCGCAAGAGGGCAAACCCAGUGCUUGCACUGGGGGUUGUAGGACUGCAAUGUGCAAGAGCUGAGUUUAGCAGAACAUUCUGGAAAGUAUAGCCAUAGAGGGUGAUAGUCCCGUAUGCGAAAAACAAAGCUUAGCUAGCAGUAUCCUGAGUAGGGCGGGACACGAGGAAUCCUGUCUGAAUCCGGGUCGACCACGAUCCAACCCUAAAUACUAAUACCAGAUCGAUAGUGCACAAGUACCGUGAGGGAAAGGUGAAAAGAACUGAGGUGAUCAGAGUGAAAUAGAACCUGAAACCAUUUGCUUACAAUCAUUCAGAGCACUAUGUAGCAAUACAGUGUGAUGGACUGCCUUUUGCAUAAUGAGCCUGCGAGUUGUGGUGUCUGGCAAGGUUAAGCAAACGCGAAGCCGUAGCGAAAGCGAGUCUGAAUAGGGCGCUUAGUCAGAUGCUGCAGACCCGAAACGAAGUGAUCUAUCCAUGAGCAAGUUGAAGCUAGUGUAAGAACUAGUGGAGGACUGAACCCAUAGGCGUUGAAAAGCCCCGGGAUGACUUGUGGAUAGGGGUGAAAGGCCAAUCAAACUUCGUGAUAGCUGGUUCUCUCCGAAAUAUAUUUAGGUAUAGCGUUGUGUCGUAAUAUAAGGGGGUAGAGCACUGAAUGGGCUAGGGCAUACACCAAUGUACCAAACCCUAUCAAACUCCGAAUACCUUAUAUGUAAUCACAGCAGUCAGGCGGCGAGUGAUAAAAUCCGUCGUCAAGAGGGAAACAACCCAGACUACCAGCUAAGGUCCCUAAAUCUUACUUAAGUGGAAAACGAUGUGAAGUUACUUAAACAACCAGGAGGUUGGCUUAGAAGCAGCCAUCCUUUAAAGAAAGCGUAAUAGCUCACUGGUCUAGUGAUUUUGCGCGGAAAAUAUAACGGGGCUAAAGUAAGUACCGAAGCUGUAGACUUGCACACAACUUAG
rnacentral:rRNA from 1 species